rnacentral:rRNA from 1 species
CACGCACACGGGUAUCGUAGGGUGCAGCGUUAUCCGGAAUUAUUGGGCGUAAAGGGCUCGUAGGCGGUUCGUCGCGUCCGGUGUGAAAGUCCAUCGCUUAACGGUGGAUCCGCGCCGGGUACGGGCGGGCUUGAGUGCGGUAGGGGAGACUGGAAUUCCCCGGUGUAACGGUGGAAUGUGUAGAUAUCGGGAAGAACACCAAUGGCGAAGGCAGGUCUCUGGGCCGUUACUGACGCUGAGGAGCGAAAGCGUGGGGAGCGAACAGGAUUAGAUACCCUGGUAGUCCACGCCGUAAACGGUGGAUGCUGGAUGUGGGGCCCGUUCCACGGGUUCCGUGUCGGAGCUAACGCGUUAAGCAUCCCGCCUGGGGAGUACGGCCGCAAGGCUAAAACUCAAAGAAAUUGACGGGGGCCCGCACAAGCGGCGGAGCAUGCGGAUUAAUUCGAUGCAACGCGAAGAACCUUACCUGGGCUUGACAUGUUCCCGACGGUCGUAGAGAUACGGCUUCCCUUCGGGGCGGGUUCACAGGUGGUGCAUGGUCGUCGUCAGCUCGUGUCGUGAGAUGUUGGGUUAAGUCCCGCAACGAGCGCAACCCUCGCCCCGUGUUGCCAGCGGAUUAUGCCGGGAACUCACGGGGGACCGCCGGGGUUAACUCGGAGGAAGGUGGGGAUGACGUCAGAUCAUCAUGCCCCUUACGUCCAGGGCUUCACGCAUGCUACAAUGGCCGGUACAACGGGAUGCGACGCGGCGACGCGGAGCGGAUCCCUGAAAACCGGUCUCAGUUCGGAUCGCAGUCUGCAACUCGACUGCGUGAAGGCGGAGUCGCUAGUAAUCGCGAAUCAGCAACGUCGCGGGAAUGCGUACUGUCCUU